rnacentral:rRNA from 1 species
GGAAUAUUGGACAAUGGGCGAAAGCCUGAUCCAGCCAUGCCGCGUGUGUGAAGAAGGUCUUCGGAUUGUAAAGCACUUUAAGUUGGGAGGAAGGGCAGUACAUUAAUACUGUGCUGUUUUGACGUUACCGACAGAAUAAGCACCGGCUAACUCUGUGCCAGCAGCCGCGGUAAUACAGAGGGUGCAAGCGUUAAUCGGAAUUACUGGGCGUAAAGCGCGCGUAGGUGGUUCGUUAAGUUGGAUGUGAAAUCCCCGGGCUCAACCUGGGAACUGCAUUCAAAACUGUCGAGCUAGAGUAUGGUAGAGGGUGGUGGAAUUUCCUGUGUAGCGGUGAAAUGCGUAGAUAUAGGAAGGAACACCAGUGGCGAAGGCGACCACCUGGACUGAUACUGACACUGAGGUGCGAAAGCGUGGGGAGCAAACAGGAUUAGAUACCCGAG